UCCUACGGGAGGCAGCAGCAAGGAAUAUUGUGCAAUGGGCGAAAGCCUGACACAGUGACGCUGCGUGGGGGAUGAAGGCUUUCGGGUUGUAAACCCCUUUUCUCAGGGAAGAAUAAUGACGGUACCUGAGGAAUAAGUCACGGCUAACUACGUGCCAGCAGCCGCGGUAAUACGUAGGUGGCAAGCGUUAUCCGGAUUUAUUGGGCGUAAAGAGGGUGCAGGCUGCCUUUCAAGUCGGAUGUGAAAUCUCCCGGCUUAACUGGGAGGGGAUAUUCGAUACUGUUAGGCUAGAGGGCAGCAGAGGGAGGUGGAAUUCCCGGUGGAGUGGUGAAAUGCGUAGAUAUCGGGAGGAACACCAGAGGCGUAGGCGACCUCCUAGGCUGUUACUGACGCUGAGGCCCGAAAGCGUGGGGAGCGAACAGGAUUAGAUACCCUGGUAGUCCAAGCCG
rnacentral:rRNA from 1 species